rnacentral:tRNA from 1 species
GGCAAGAUAGCCCUGACUCCGAACGUGGAGCAAUCAGGCAUGUUGGGUUCAGCAUUUGGACAAAACGCAGGUUCAAUUCCUGCUCUUGCUA